GUUCCAGAUUGAUCAGCCUGCCACAGUAAUGAAGUUCAUAACUGAGGUAACCCACAAAAGCGAUAACCAAUUAAUAAACUUUAGGUUAAAUAACUGUUGUCAUGCAAUGGUAAUGUGUUGUGUUAGAAGCAAUAUAAACCAAUGGUAAUGCAAUGGUAAUGUAGAGCUCUGGCUUCAUGCAAUGGUAAUGCAAUGAAGUCUCCUAGGUUUCCGCGUCCUCUGGCUCUUCGUCCUCUUGGCCUUCGGCCACCCAUGGGUUUAUGUUUCUACUGGUUGUUUUGAAUCCUAGUUUUGUCUGUGUAUAUCACCGAGGACGUUUGUG
rnacentral:misc_RNA from 1 species